ACUUCUCUCAGCCCCAGACUGUCAGCUCUCAGGAUUAUCCACCUCGGCUCCUGGUUGCAGCAACUGCUGUGGCAGUAUGUGGAGCGAGCACCUCUGGCUCCCAACUUCUCCUGACUGAGCUGGCCACUCGCUUCCUUCUCCUCUGUGCCUCAGGCGCUUGCUGAGACUUCUCUGUUGGACUCUAGUGCUCUCUCCUGGAUGUUCUAUUCGAGGUGUGCUUAUCUCUUCAUAAUUUUGGGUCUUCUUUCUGGAGAGGCUCUGCCGCACUAAGCUCUCUACAUGGCCGAGGCACCAGACCAGAAUGCGCCCUUUCGACAGGCAGAGAGAGCCAAAGGGGAAAAGAGCUGAGUCAAGGCUGCCAAGUUCCUGCUUCCAGCCCUACCAGCCGGUCACUCGCGCCUUGCAAUGAGGAAACCAGGAGUCCUAUCUAGAGCCUUUCCAUAGUUGUGGGAAAGAAGAUGGGUAAAGUUAUUGUUAAUCUACAGAGGAAGGAAUGAUGCCAAGUUUUUCAAGGCUUCCAGAGUCACAGGAGGAGUCACUUGGUAAAUCCAGGAGCAGAAACCAGGUUAAGUGACUAGCCUAAGGUAAGAGCCAGAUUUGGAGCUUGGAAUCUGAUAGCCCUUAGGGUGCUUUAUUCCCUGAGCCAAUCCACACUUCUACCUCAGUAAAGGAAUCAACUGAGGGCUCAGCUUUUCCUCUGCAAGAAACCUGCUCUCUGGGACAGCCCAAGGGAGCUCAUUCAUCCCUUCCACCACGUGAGGAUGUGGUGAGAAUGUGCUAUCUAUGAACCAGGAAGCAGACCCUCAGCAGACACUGAAUCUACCAGUCCCUUGACCUUGGACAUCCUAACCUCCAGAACUCAUGCACAAGCAAUUCUAAACAAGGCUCAGCGAUAACAUAUCCCUUCCCAUGAGUGGAUCACUCCCACUGCCUCUUUCACACACCCUGCCUCCUGCAAGCCAAUGCUGUGAAGCCCAACCUAGCCAUGUGGCAAGGGAGAUGUCUGCCCAGUCUCCAGCUGCUCCAGCCAUCCCAGCUCAGGCACCAGUCACUUGAGGGAAGAAGCCAUCUUGGAUGUCCAGCCUAGUCUGGCUUUGAGAAGACUCUAGCUCCUGCUGCCAUCUUACUGCAGUUUCAUGAAGGAUCAAAUGUCAUAGCCAUCCAGCCGAGCCUUGGCAAACUACAGACUGUAUAAGGAGUUUUUUUAGGGCACUCUGUUACGCAGCAAUUGAUAAACAAAAAAGAGAAGAGGCAUGCAAGAAGAAGAGAGCCUCUUCUCUCUUAAAAUAGCAACAAGUGUCCUUGGCUGUGUGGGGUCUCUAGAGAUCAGCUAAUCUUGAUGUUGACAGAGGCCAAAAGUACUUGAUUUCACUACCGGAUGGAAAUUAUAUCUGUGUAGAUGUUGCUAAGCAACAAGAGAUCAGAAACCUAUAAGGAGUGACCAUAUAAUGCAAAGCAUUGAGUCAGCCAACUGAGUUCCUCCUGCACUUAUUUUUUAGAACCUGCUUAUAAAAGAAGCAAUGUCCACAAUGUGUGGGGGGAGGAAAGUCUCCUGGGACCUUAAGAGGAAAGCGUACACUUCAUCAUAAUUUGCCUGCAAUGAUCAGCAAACGAAAAAGUCAAUACACAACCUGAAAAA
ensembl:lncRNA novel transcript, sense overlapping BRMS1L